CCUACGGGAGGCAGCAGUGAGGAAUAUUGGUCAAUGGGCGGAAGUCUGAACCAGCCAAGUCGCGUGAGGGAAUAAGGCCCUACGGGUCGUAAACCUCUUUUGCCGGGGAGCAAGCUCAGUGACGUGUCCCUUCCCGCAGGGUACCCGUGGACAAAGCCUCGGCUAACCCCGUGCCAGCAGCCGCGGUAAUCCGGAGGAUCCGGGCGUUAUCCGGAUUUAUUGGGUUUAAGGGGUGCGUAGGCGGGCUUUUAAGUCCGCGGGAAAAGUUCGGGGCCCAACCCGGCACGGCCGUGGAAACUGGGGGCCUUGAGUGGGCGAGAAGAAGGCGGAAUGCGUGGUGUAGCGGUGAAAUGCAUAGAUAUCACGCAGAACCCCGAUUGCGAAGGCAGCCUGCCGUAGCGCUACUGACGCUGAGGCACGAAAGUGCGGGGAUCGAACAGGAUUAGAUACCCGAGUAGUC
rnacentral:rRNA from 1 species